rnacentral:rRNA from 1 species
CGUAAAGCGCGCGUAGGCGGAUCAGAAAGUUGGGGGUGAAAUCCCGGGGCUCAACCUCGGAACUGCCUUCAAAACUCCUAGUCUAGAGUUCGAGAGAGGUGAGUGGAACUCCGAGUGUAGAGGUGAAAUUCGUAGAUAUUCGGAAGAACACCAGUGGCGAAGGCGGCUCACUGGCUCGAUACUGACGCUGACGGUGCGAAAGUGUGGGGAGCAAACAGGAUUAGAUACCCUGGUAG